CGUGCAUGAUGACACUUAAGAAAUGCUGUGAUCACCCGAGUGCGCAGUGGGGGAACCAACCUUGGAGAGCUGAGCGUGCG
ensembl:snoRNA SNORD39 Small nucleolar RNA SNORD55/SNORD39